UGCAAGUCGAGCGGACAGAUGGGAGCUUGCUCCCUGAUGUUAGCGGCGGACGGGUGAGUAACACGUGGGUAACCUGCCUGUAAGACUGGGAUAACUCCGGGAAACCGGGGCUAAUACCGGAUGGUUGUCUGAACCGCAUGGUUCAGACAUAAAAGGUGGCUUCGGCUACCACUUACAGAUGGACCCGCGGCGCAUUAGCUAGUUGGUGAGGUAACGGCUCACCAAGGCGACGAUGCGUAGCCGACCUGAGAGGGUGAUCGGCCACACUGGGACUGAGACACGGCCCAGACUCCUACGGGAGGCAGCAGUAGGGAAUCUUCCGCAAUGGACGAAAGUCUGACGGAGCAACGCCGCGUGAGUGAUGAAGGUUUUCGGAUCGUAAAGCUCUGUUGUUAGGGAAGAACAAGUGCCGUUCAAAUAGGGCGGCACCUUGACGGUACCUAACCAGAAAGCCACGGCUAACUACGUGCCAGCAGCCGCGGUAAUACGUAGGUGGCAAGCGUUGUCCGGAAUUAUUGGGCGUAAAGGGCUCGCAGGCGGUUU
rnacentral:rRNA from 1 species